rnacentral:lncRNA from 1 species
UUGCUUUAGAGAGGUAUGGAGUAGAAACAUGAAAUCUAUUUUCCUAGCCAAUAAGUACCUGAAAAAGGUUUAGGAGUCAGCCAUCUUGGAAGCCCAGUGAGGUGGUUAUGCAAGUUAGGCAAGAUUUCAAUGCAUAAAUAUUAAGAUCUCAAGCAUACUGGGCAAAGAGGAAGGUGAUGGAGAUUAUAUAGGGAUUUAUUAUAGAGCAGUAUAGCAGGUUGUGAGAUUAUGCUGGGG